UUGAAAUUCUCAAGAUUCUAGCGUUGAAACUGAAAGAAGACGAACUACUUACCAAAUGGAUCGAAUGAAAAUUUCAAAGAUACCCGGAUAAACAAGGUCGUCGCUCGCAGCUAGCCAUGUUCUGCCGAAGAGUUUUAUCGCAGGCAUUUUUCUGUGGAACAUAUCGCGAUUUCAUCCCGCGUCGAAUCUCACGAGCUGGUUGGCGGUGACUGUCCAGCACGGCCACAACUUUCCCUUCGUUCCUCUCGAUCACACGUUCCUUCGCUUACGAAAAAACCAAUUGCUUCUCAUGGGGAUAUACGGCAAUGGUAGGAGUAGAUGUCCCUAGCAAUAUUAUAUAAAUUUUCAUAUGAAUCGAUUCACGUAAAUAAACGGCAUCUGUAACUACCUUGUUUAUAAAUUAUCUGUUGAAAACUGCAAACUGAGGAAACAGCGUUAAAACAUCUGAA
rnacentral:misc_RNA from 1 species